UACGGAGGAUGCGAGCGUUAUCCGGAUUUAUUGGGUUUAAAGGGUGCGUAGGCGGACUGUCAAGUCAGCGGUAAAAUUGAGAGGCUCAACCUCUUCCCGCCGUUGAAACUGGUGGUCUUGAGUGAAUGAGAAGUACGCGGAAUGCGUGGUGUAGCGGUGAAAUGCAUAGAUAUCACGCAGAACUCCGAUUGCGAAGGCAGCGUACCGGCAUCCAACUGACGCUGAGGCACGAAAGCGUGGGGAUCAAACAGG
rnacentral:rRNA from 1 species